AUGACAUCUGUCCGUCCUGGGAGAGGGAUCCCUCACAUUAAGAUACGUUUAUUUAUAACAAACACAUGCACAAUCAUGCAAUGGUAGGUAAAUUUAUCCUCUGCUUUUGACCCAUCUGGUGCAGGACAUACAGAGCAGUGAGCGACCAUGUACGGCGCCCGGGGAGCAGAUGUUGGAGGAGUAAGGUGCCUUGCUCAGGGGCACUAGACAGGGGGCGGAAGGCUGCUCCAGCUUUCCACCCACCGAGGUCAGCAGGGCUGUCCAGCCGCUUCACCUGCAUCGCUGAGGAGAGGGCCUGGCUGCUCCAGCACAUCUUCUCUUCCCACCAACGACCGGAGGUCAGAGGUGCAGCUCUCCAACUCAUCUUCUCAAGGAAACCUCCUCGCCCUUCAAGCUCUACAACCUCCUAGCAGCGACUCGAUGUCCUGCAGGUUAGGACUUCGAACCAGCAUCUGAGCACACGGCUCCACAGCUACGCUAAGGCAGAGACCGUUCGACCAACUGGCAGGACGAAAUUGCAGCGGAGCUGCAACUCCAUUUUCCCCUUUCUAAGGACUGCUUCUCCCGCAGAUCCAGGGCCUCUGUGGCCGCACCAUGGAUUGCGGUUUGUGGAUCGCGCACCGGGGGUCGCGGUGGUGGAUCCAUUGUGGCGGAUUCUGAAUCAUGUGGGCUGAUCGUGGUGCUGGUGGCGGACCCUGUGUCGCGUUGGCAUCGGGUACGGGCGGUGGACCAGGACCGCGGUGGUGGCUUGUGAUGGGUCCUGGUGGGCGGCGGUGGACGGUGACUGAGGACUGGAGUGGCGUCUGGUCUGGAUGGUGGAUCGUGGUCCUGCUGGUUGCUGACCAUGGACUGUGAUUGCAGCGGGACUGCUUGGCAUGUCAUGUUGGGGUUGUCCUUCGGGAUGUCUACCCUCAUCAAUGCUGCAAGAGACUUUAAUCUUUAAUCUUGAAGACUUUAAUCUUGAUGAUGUUUUCCUGCACGUGGCAUCUAUUGCACUUCUGUCCGUCCUGGGAGAGGGAUCCCUCACAUGUGGCUCUCUCUGAGGUUUCUACGUAUUUUUACCUGUUAAAAGGGUUUUUAGUAGUUUUUCCUUACUCUUGCUGAGGGUUAAGGACAGAGGAUGUCACACCCUGUUAAAGCCCUAUGAGAUGAAUUGUAAUUUGUGAAUAUGGGCUAUACAAAUAUUUCUGACUUUCAUUAUCUGAUUAACAUACACACAGACACACAAGCAUUUCACCUAGUUAAACCUUCCCCCUUGGCCGUAAAGCAACUUCAGAAAAGGGGGGGGGGCUCUUAUCUUAGGGGGUCAGCGACCAUUUUGAAAGCAACCUCAGGAAGGCGUUACUCUUGGGGAGGGGGGGGGGCUGCCGCUAUCUUAAGGCGUUACUCUUUGGUCAACCACCAUUUUGAGAACACCCUAAUUUACCUACAUACACACACACACUCACAUACACAUCCUUGUUAGUUAGUUCGGUUGUUUAGUAAAUUGUGUUUUAUACUUUAUUAUGUUCAUAAAAAAUGUUCUGUCAUUAAUGUUGUAUAAGUGAAUUUUGCCAACCAUUACACUGUUAAGAACUCCAUAACCUUCACUGUUCAUCAUAUAAUCUUUAAUAGUAAAUAUUGAGAUUUAUAUUCGAACUAGAUCUAAAUGAGACUGAUCUUAAUCAAUAAAUUGGCUGUCUUUUCCCUUCUAUGAAGGGUGGUGCCCCACGAGAACUUUAACCAAUUAAAGUUAUGAUUUAAUAUUAAUGUUUUAAAUAUUAAUGUUUUAUAUUUUAUUUUGAUAACCAAAUAUAUUUAGUGCCUAAAGGCACACCAUUCUAUGGUAACACUUUUCAAGCACUAUUGCACAACAUAGUUUUUCCUUACUCUUGCUGAAGGUUAAGGACAGAGGAUGUCUCACCAUGUUAAAGCCCAAUGAGACGAAUUGUGAUUUGUGAAUAUGGGCUAUACAAAUAAAAUUUGAUUGAUUGAUUGCUAGUUAGGGCUAGGUUGGAUACCAUAGUUUUACCAAUUUUUGCCGUUAUGAAUCCGUGACAUGAAACCCCAGGAAGGUUCGGUGUUUCUCUCUCGUCACAGUGCAGCUAAUACAGGAGACUGUCAGGGACCUUUUCUAGAUCAUGAUGCUGUAGCUCUGAAAAUAUCAGGCUUGAAUCUUUUAGGAAAUUGAAGGAAAAAUAAGUCAAAAUGGAUUAAUUUGAUUAUAUUUUUGUAACCAUGUUAUCAGGUUAUCAGCCAUAAUAUUUAAGCUAUGAAAGUCUACCUUAAAAAUCUGAGACUUCAGAUUUUUUCUUUCAAUUUCAAGCUUUAUUUCGGUACAUAAUCCAUUUCAGUGGAAUUAGUUUAUUGUCACUGUUGUGAAUUGUGAGCUCACGAACUCAAUGCACAAUCGUUCUUGUUAAUGUACGUUUACAUUUUCAUGGGAUGUUUUAAACGGGUACAUCAACCUGGGAAAUGUGACUCCUGCCAUAUAUGAAGCCUUACAAAUAUUUCUUAUUGAAUGAAUGUACAGUGCCUUGCAUAAGUAUUCACCCCCUUUGGACUUUUCUACAUUUUGUCAUGGUAUAACCACAGAUUAAAAUUUAUUUCUUCGUGAGUUUAUGUAAUGGACCAACACAAAAUAGUGCAUCAUUUGGAAGUGGGGGGAAAUAUUACAUGGAUUUCACAAUUAUUUACAAAUAAAAAUCUGAAAAGUG